CAAUAGCGUAUAUUAUAGUUGUUGCGGUUAAAAAGCUCGUAGUUGGAGUUCUGCCAGGUGCCGCCUGUCCGCCCCAGUGGUGAGUACGUGGCGCGCAUUUGGCCCUUUCAAGGGGAGCGUAUCUGCACUUUAUUGUGUGGUGCGGGAUCCUUGACUUUUACUUUGAGGAAAUAGGAGUGUUCCAAGCAGGCUCUCGUCGUGCACAGCUCAGCAUGGAAUAAUAGCAUUGGACCUCGAUUCUAAGCUGUUGGUUGCCAGAAGCGAGGUAAUGAUGAAGAGGGAUAGUUGGGGGCAUUCGUAUUUAACUGUCAGAGGUGAAAUUCUUGGAUUUGUUAAAGACGGACUACCGCGAAAGCAUCUGCCAUGGAUGUUUUCAUUGA
rnacentral:rRNA from 1 species